AGAUCAUGAUGCGGGCAAUUCCUUAGUAAACCUUUGUAUUUCUCCCAAGCCUCGUAUAGUGUCUCUCCAACUUGUUGUUCAAAGUUGGCUAUGGAUUUUUUUAAUUU